CUUCUGCCUCGAACCUGUCAAGUGCCAAUAUUCAUUUUAAUGAUCUCAUUUUAUAAAUAAUGGAAAGAAAAACAAUACAUUCAAUAGAAAUGAGAUUAGAAAUGGGAGGGGAAUGAAUUACAAAUGCAAGAGUCUGUAGUUGUUCCAAGGAAGAUAAAUCUCAUUUUAAGUGGUCUCCAGUGAAACAGCAUCUUGGUAAGGAUAAAACAAGCAAACAACUAAAACCCACAAAAAAGCCCACGUCUUUUGCUGAUAAAGAAAGGUGGAUGGCAGCAGCAGGGAGUGUUUGCUGACACAGGUCAGUUGUCACAGUAUCUUGAGACCAGUGAUACGUAGGUUUUCUUCUUGGCCUUGCCAUGGCCUCCCUGUGAUAAAUCAUUUAACAGCUGGUGCCAGCAUUGCAGGACAAUCUGGAAAAUCAAACUCCAGUGAACAAACGUGCAGGUGACAUCAAGAAGCAAUGCUCGGGGCAGCAGCCACUGCCAGGCUUCCACCUCAGCAGGAUAUUUGAAGCCUGGCUCACACCAUGAGUUGCUCUGGAUGUGCUGAUGGCUGGUUUCAGUGGCAAGAUGGAUAGAGCCUGGAGGAGGUGCUGGCGUGACCCCCAGCCUGCUGGCCACACCAGCCCUCUGUGCACAGUCACAAUGUGAUUUCUUUCUGUGGAGUAACGAAGGAAGACAAAUGCUGCUUUCCUGUAGACUUUUGAGGGAGCUGGGGUUUGCCAUAAGUGCAGUCAUAUACAAAUAUGCCUGGAGGAAAUUAUGGCAUCUUUGUGGAUUUCUGUGUGGUUGAUAUUAUAUCUGAACCAACCUAAAUAGAGCCAGGGGAAGAGCUCACAUGCAGAGCUUUUGAAGGAACAAGAAGGCAGCAUCAUUUAUUAGGCAAUAUUAAGAACUUUUCUGAAAUAAUACAACCUUACAUCAGAACAAACACUUUCUCUCAAACAUUAUUAUGAGUGGCUUUCAUGAACUGCAUAAUUUCCAGUUCCAUGGAGCUCAGAAUUGCAGGAGCUGCUCCCAGUGGAGCUGCACAUGGCCGCCAGCUCCAUGACUUUCUACCCAAUGCUGCUUGUGCAUCAAACCCAUUUGGGCUGAUCACCGUGGAACUGUGGGCAUGUUCUGCCCUUGGCUCUGCCUUGGGUGGAACCAUGGGCGUGUGUCACUCUUUGCUUUCCCUUAG
rnacentral:lncRNA from 1 species